rnacentral:rRNA from 1 species
UACAGACGUCUCAAGCGUUGUUCGGAUUCAUUGGGCGUAAAGGGUGCGUAGGCGGCGCGGUAAGUCGGGUUUGAAAUCUCGGAGCUUAACUCCGAAACUGCAUUCGAUACUGCCGUGCUUGAGGACUGGAGAGGAGACUGGAAUUUACGGUGUAGCGGUGAAAUGCGUAGAUAUCGUAAGGAAGACCAGUGGCGAAGGCGGGUCUCUGGACAGUUCCUGACGCUGAGGCACGAAGGUCAGGGGAGCAAACGGG